CAGCCGCCACGGUAAUACGAAGGGGGCUAGCGUUGCUCGGAAUGACUGGGCGUAAAGGGCGCGUAGGCGGCAUAUACAGUCAGGCGUGAAAUUCCCGGGCUUAACCUGGGGGCUGCGUUUGAUACGUAUGGGCUAGAGUGGGGAAGAGGGUCGUGGAAUUCCCAGUGUAGAGGUGAAAUUCGUAGAUAUUGGGAAGAACACCGGUGGCGAAGGCGGCGACCUGGUCCUUGACUGACGCUGAGGCGCGAAAGCGUGGGGAGCAAACAGGAUUAGAUACCCGAGUAGUCCCUGUCUCUUAUAU
rnacentral:rRNA from 1 species